rnacentral:rRNA from 1 species
GUUGGUGAUAGAAGCGGUGGGGGUACACCCGGCUCCAUCCCGAACCCGGCAGUUAAGCCCACCAGCGCCGAUGGUAGUAUGCGGGCGACUGCAUGCGAGAGUAGGUCAUUGCCAACC